GGAGGAAUGGCUCAGUGGUAUAGUAUCUGUCUGGCAAGCAUUAGGCCCUGAGUUCAAAUCCUAGUACUGCCC
rnacentral:tRNA from 1 species